CCCGACAGCAUUUGGUACAGUCAGGUUUUCCUCCAUGUUAAAUUAUACUAGUAGGACAAUCUGAAAACAUUUUGCACUUUCAGGUCAUCCUACCUGUUUAAUUUAUACUAGUAAGACAAUGUGACAGCAUUUGGUACAGUCAGGUUAUCCUCCAUGUUUAUUUAUACUAGUAGGACAAUCUGACAGCAUUUGGUACAGUCAGGUUAUCCUCCAUGUUUAAUUUAUACUAGUAGGAAAACCCGACAGCAUUUGGUACAGUCAGGUUAUCCUCCAUGUUAAAUUAUACUAGUAGGACAAUCUGAAAGCAUUUUGCACGUUCAGGUCAUCCUACCUGUUUAAUUUAUACUAGUAGGACAAUCUGAAAACAUUUUGCACUUUCAGGUCAUCCUACCUGUUUAAUUUAUACUAGUAAGACAAUGUGACAGCAUUUGGUACAGUCAGGUUAUCCUCCAUGUUUAUUUAUACUAGUAGGACAAUCUGACAGCAUUUGGUACAGUCAGGUUAUCCUCCAUGUUUAAUUUAUACUAAUAGCACAAUCGUGGGCAGAUGCCUCUCAUCUGCACGGGAAAUGAACGACCCCGCCUUCCACGAGUUUCCUGCUGCCUUGCAGGUUGGCCUUGUCUGGUCAAAGGCUAUGGGAGUAAACCCAAAUAGAAAAUCCGGUACAAAGACCCGUAGGACAAUCUGACAGCAUUUUGUACAGUCAGGUAAUCCUACCUCUUUGAUUUACACUAGUAGGACAACCUGACAGCAUAUUAUUUAGUCAGGUCAUCCUAGCUGUUUAAUUUAUAAUAGUAGGACAUCCCGACAGCAUUUGGUACAGUCAGGUCAUCCUACCUCUUUAAUUUACACUAGUAGGACAACCUGACAACAUAUUGUACAGUCAGGUCAUUAAGCUGUUUAAUUUAUAAUAGUAGGACAUUCUAUCUGUUUAACUUACUAGUAGGACGAUCUGAAAGCAUUUUGCACGUUCAGGUCAUCCUACCUGUUUAAUGUAUACUAGUAGGACAAUCUGAAAGCAUUUUGCACUUUCAGGUCAUCCUACCUGUUUAAUUUAUACUAGUAGGACAAUCUGACAGCAUUUGGUACAGUCAGGUUAUCCUCCAUGUUUAUUUAUACUAGUAGGACAACCCGACAGCAUUUGGUACAGUCAGGUUAUCCUCCAUGUUUAAUUAUACUAGUAGGACAAUCUGAAAGCAUUUUGCACGUUCAGGUCAUCCUACCUGUUUAAUUUAUACUAGUAGGACAAUCUGAAAGCAUUUUGCACUUUCAGGUCAUCCUACCUGUUUAAUUUAUACUAGUAGGACAAUCUGACAGCAUUUGGUACAGUCAGGUUAUCCUCCAUGUUUAUUUAUACUAGUAGGACAACCCGACAGCAUUUGGUACAGUCAGGUUAUCCUCCAUGUUUAAUUAUACUAGUAGGACAAUCUGAAAGCAUUGUGCACCUUCAGGUCAUCCUACCUGUUUAAUUUAUACUAGUAGGACAAUCUGAAAGCAUUUUGCACUUUCAGGUCAUCCUACCUGUUUAAUUUAUACUAGUAGGACAAUCUGACAGCAUUUGGUACAGUCAGGUUAUCCUCCAUGUUUAUUUAUACUAGUAGGACAACCCGACAGCAUUUGGUACAGUCAGGUUAUCCUACCUGUUUAAUUUAAACAAGUAGGACAAUUUGAAAGCAUUUUGCACCUUCAGGUCAUCCUACCUGUUUAACUUAUACUAGUAGGACAAUCUGAAAGCAUUUUGCACUUUCAGGUCAUCCUACCUGUUUGUUUUAUGUUAGUAGGACAAUCUGACAGCAUUUUGGACCUUCAGGUCAUCCUACCUGUUUAAUUUAUACUUGUAGGACAAUCUGACAGCAUUUUGUACAGUCAGGUUAUCCUUCAUGUUUAUUUAUACUAGUAGGACAACCCGACAGCAUUUGGUACAGUCAGGUUAUCCUCCAUGUUUAAUUAUACUAGUAGGACAAUCUGAAAGCAUUGUGCACCUUCAGGUCAUCCUACCUGUUUAAUUUAUACUAGUAGGACAAUCUGAAAACAUUUUGCACUUUCAGGUCAUCCUACCUGUUUAAUUUAUACUAGUAGGACAAUCUGACAGCAUUUUGUACAGUCAGGUUAUCCUUCAUGUUUAUUUAUACUAGUAGGACAACCCGACAGCAUUUGGUACAGUCAGGUUAUCCUCCAUGUUUAAUUAUACUAGUAGGACAAUCUGAAAACAUUUUGCACUUUCAGGUCAUCCUACCUGUUUAAUUUAUACUAGUAGGACAAUCUGACAGCAUUUUGUACAGUCAGGUUAUCCUUCAUGUUUAUUUAUACUAGUAGGACAAUCUGACAGCAUUUGGUACAGUCAGGUUAUCCUCCAUGUUUAUUUAUACUAGUAGGACAACCUGACAGCAUUUGGUACAGUCCGGUUAUCCUCCAUGUUUAAUUAUACUAGUAGGACAAUCUGAAAACAUUUUGCACGUUCAGGUCAUCCUACCUGUUUAAUUUAUACUAGUAGGACAAUCUGAAAGCAUUUUGCACUUUCAGGUCAUCCUACCUGUUUAAUUUAUACUAGUAGGACAAUCUGACAGCAUUUGGUACAGUUAGGUUAUCCUCCAUGUUUAUUUAUACUAGUAGGACAACCUGACAGCAUUUGGUACAGUCCUGUUAUCCUCCAUGUUUAAUUAUACUAGUAGGACAAUCUGACAGCAUUUUGCACAUUCAGGUCAUCCUACCUGUUUAAUUUAUACUAGUAGGACAAUCUGAAAGCAUUUUGCACUUUCAGGUCAUCCUACCUGUUUAAUUUAUACUUGUAGGACAAUCUGACAGCAUUUGAUACAGUCAGGUUAUCCUCCAUGGUUAUUUAUACUAAUAGGACAAUCUGACAGCAUUUGGUACAGUCAGGUUAUCCACCAUGUUUAAUUUAUACUAAUAGCACAAUCGUGGGCAGUGGGCAGAUGUCUCUCAUUUGCACGGGAAAUGAACGACCCCGCCUUCCACGAGUUUCCUGCUGCCUUGCAGGUUGGCCUUGUCUGGUCAAAGGCUAAGGGAGUAAACCCAAAUAGAAAAUCUGGUACAGAGACCCUUAUACUAGUAGGACAAUCUGACAGCAUUUUGUACAGUCAGGUAAUCCUACCUCUUUAAUUUACACUAGUAGGACAACCUGACAGCAUAUUGUACAGUCAGGUCAUCCUACCUGUUUAAUUUACAAUAGUAGGACAUCCCGACAGCAUUUGGUACAGUCAGGCCAUCCUACCUCUUUAAUUUACACUAGUAGGACAACCUGACAGCAUAUUGUACAGUCAGGUCAUUAAGCUGUUUAAUUUAUAAUAGUAGGAAAUCCUAUCUGAAAAUUUUGGACUUUCAGGUCAUCCUACUUGUUUAAUUUAAACUAGUAGGACAACCUAAAAGCAUUUCCCACCUCCAGGUCAUCCUACCUCUUUAAUUUAAACUAGUAGGACAAUCUGAAAGCAUUUUGCACCUUCAGGUCAUCCUACCUGUUUAAUUUAAACUAGCAGUUAAACAGCAGAUGAUAUAGAUCUGCAGAAGAUGAUUGGUUGAUGAACACAGGUAAUCUCCGCACAUACACUUCUUUAAUGUCCCAGAUAUAACAAGACGAUUAACUUUCCUUUCCUUUUAGGUAAACAGAUGAUGACGACGACAGAUAACCACACCUUCAGGUCAUCCGACCUCUUCAAUUUAUACUAGUAGGACAAUCUAAAAGCAUUUUGUACAGUCAGGUUAUCCUACCUAUUCUGUAGGUGGUACUAUAAUCCCUCCUCUCCUUAUAUACCUAGGGUCUUACUAAACUGGGUGCAUGGUUAUGGUAGGACAAAUAAUGCAGUGUGUAUAUUAAUCUAUUGUCUGUAUUGUAACAUAUUGUGUAGAUAUUUGCUGUAUUAAAAAAUAAAGUUGUCCUCCGAAGAGGGGGGGUGGUGGCGGGCCAAAAAAAGUAGGAUAAUCUGAAAGCAUUUUGCACUUUCAGGUCAUCCUACUUGUUUAAUUUAUACUAGUAGGACAAUCUAACAGCAUUUGGUAUAGUCAGGUUAUCCUCCAUGUUUAUUUAUACUAGUAGGACAACCCGACAGCAUUUGGUACAGUCAGGUUAUCCUCCAUGUUUAAUUAUACUAGUAGGACAAUCUGAAAGCAUUGUGCAUCUUAAGGUCAUCCUACCUGU